AACAAUGGUGAUAUUAUCAAACACCAAGGCUUUGAAAUCAAACCAACUGGCACUACCAAGUUUGAUAGCUGAAGAUUUUGUUCUGAUCCAAGAAUCCGUAGCAGUCAAGUUAUAAAGGGGGCCUGUGUACGUCUUUGGACAGAUUGCAUCAUCCCCUGUAUCAAUUUGGACUCUUGUAAUUACUGUGUUAUUUGAAUCUUCAAUGUCUAUACCAUCAUUGUUGGGUGUGUUGAAGUCUCCAUAGAUUGACAUAUCGCGAAUGAAUGUGUUAUCACAACGCACUAUGUGCAAGCUGCAAUAAAGUAAUCAAUUUGUCAAACAAUAGCAUAAAUAGAGAAAAUUAGAAGGGGCUCAAAACACAAAAUUUAUAUAACAUGAGUGAAGUUUC
rnacentral:lncRNA from 1 species